UUGGGGGUGGUGGUGAACAAAUUUUCUUUGGACUAGAGUUUCUGAUUCUACUACUUUGUGCUAGUUGAAGGAACUCUUGGCUGUCUGAGCUUCCAG
rnacentral:snoRNA from 1 species